rnacentral:tRNA from 3 species
GCUGGAGUGGCGCAAUUGGUAGCGCAACGGUCUUGUAAACCGUAGGUUGUGGGUUCAAGUCCCAUCUCCAGCUCCA